GUCACUUCAUACACUCCCUAUUGUCUAUAUAUAUAUAUAUACUUACACAUAUUCAAACAUUAUAAUACUUAAUUACACAUACAUACUUUAUGAUGUUGCAUAUCACAC
rnacentral:misc_RNA from 1 species